rnacentral:rRNA from 1 species
CUAAGCGGAGGAGAAGAAACUAACCAGGAUUUCCCUAGUAACGGCGAGCGAACCGGAAAGAGCCCAGCUUGAAAAUCGUGGUGCCUCGCACCUCGAGUUGUAGUCUGGAGAAGGUCCCUCUGCGACGCGCCGGACCCAAGUUCCCUGGAAAGGGACGUCAUCGAGGGUGACAACCCCGUCCGCGCCCGGAACGCGUCGCUCCACGAGGACCUGUCUGCGAGUCGGGCUGUUUGGGAAUGCAGCCCUAAGUGGGAGGUAAAUUCCUUCCAAGGCUAAAUAUGGGCAAGAGACCGAUAGCGAACAAGUACCGCGAGGGAAAGAUGAAAAGGACUUUGAAAAGAGAGUUAAAAAGUGCUUGAAAUUGCUGGGAGGGAAGCGAAUGGAAGCUGCGGGUGCGCCCCGGUUGGAUGUGGAACGGCUUCGGCUGGUCCGCCGCUCAACGCGGGGCGCUGGUCAGCGUGGGCCACGGCGCCGGGACAAGAGCGGGGAUUCGCUUCCCGCCUAUGCCGGUGCGGUGGCCGAGGAACGAAGCGCGCGCCGCAAGGCGUGGGUUCGCCCAACUGCGCGCUCGGGACGCUGGCGUAUUGAGCUCUUCAUCCGACCCGUCUUGAAACACGGACCAAGGAGUCUAACAUGUAUGCGAGCCGGUGGGCGGCAAACCCAUUGAGGCGCAAGUAAACUGACAGGUGGGACCCCGACCGUGAGGGAGGGAGCACCAUCGACCGACCGUGAUCUUCUGUGAAAGGUUUGAGUGUGAGCAUACCUGUUGGGACCCGAAAGAUGGUGAACUAUGCCUGAGCAGGGCGAAGCCAGAGGAAACUCUGGUGGAGGCUCGUAGCGAUACUGACGUGCAAAUCGUUCGUCAGACUUGGGUAUAGGGGCGAAAGACUAAUCGAACCAUCUAGUAGCUGGUUCCCUCCGAAGUUUCCCUCAGGAUAGCUGGAGCUCGUGUACAAGUUUUAUCAGGUAAAGCGAAUGAUUAGAGGCAUCGGGGGUGUAACACCCUCGACCUAUUCUCAAACUUUAAAUAGGUAAGCCGCCGGGGUUGCUUGGUUGAACCCCGGCACAGAAUGAGAGCUCCAAGUGGGCCAU